rnacentral:rRNA from 1 species
UGGGGAAUAUUGGACAAUGGGCGCAAGCCUGAUCCAGCAAUGCCGCGUGUGUGAAGAAGGCCUUCGGGUUGUAAAGCACUUUUAUCAGGAGCGAAAGCAUGUCGGCCAAUACCCGGCGUGGAUGACGGUACCUGAGGAAUAAGCACCGGCUAACUUCGUGCCAGCAGCCGCGGUAAUACGAAGGGUGCAAGCGUUAAUCGGAAUUACUGGGCGUAAAGCGUGCGUAGGCGGUUUCUUAAGUCUGCUGUGAAAUCCCCGGGCUCAACCUGGGAAUGGCAGUGGAUACUGGGAGGCUAGAGUGUGAUAGAGGAUGGUGGAAUUCCCGGUGUAGCGGUGAAAUGCGUAGAGAUCGGGAGGAACAUCAGUGGCGAAGGCGGCCAUCUGGAUCAACACUGACGCUGAGGCACGAAAGCGUGGGGAGCAAAC